UUGGGAAUGUGACCUUGUUUUGAAACAGGGUUCUUUGCAGGUGUGAUUGAGUGAAGGAUGGAGAUGAGGACGUCCUGGAGGAGGGUGGCCCUAAAUCCAGGAUGGAGAAGACGGC